UACGUAGGGCGCAAGCGUUAUCCGGAAUUAUUGGGCGUAAAGAGCUCGUAGGCGGCUUGUCACGUCGAUUGUGAAAGCCCGAGGCUUAACCUCGGGUCUGCAGUCGAUACGGGCUAGCUAGAGUGUGGUAGGGGAGAUCGGAAUUCCUGGUGUAGCGGUGAAAUACGCAGAUAUCAGGAGGAACACCGGUGGCGAAGGCGGAUCUCUGGGCCAUUACUGACGCUGAGGAGCGAAAGCGUGGGGAGCGAACAGG
rnacentral:rRNA from 1 species